rnacentral:rRNA from 1 species
GACGAACGCUGGCGGCGUGCCUAAUACAUGCAAGUCGAGCGGACGAAUCGAAAGCUUGCUUUUGAUUCGUUAGCGGCGGACGGGUGAGUAACACGUGGGCAACCUGCCCUGUAGACGGGGAUAACACCGAGAAAUCGGUGCUAAUACCGGAUAACACGAAAUGUCGCAUGACGUUUCGUUGAAAGACGGCGCAAGCUGCUGCUACAGGAUGGGCCCGCGGCGCAUUAGCUAGUUGGUGAGGUAACGGCUCACCAAGGCGACGAUACGUAGCCGACCUGAGAGGGUGAUCGGCCACACUGGGACUGAGACACGGCCCAGACUCCUACGGGAGGCAGCAGUAGGGAAUCUUCCGCAAUGGACGAAAGUCUGACGGAGCAACGCCGCGUGAGCGAAGAAGGCCUUCGGGUCGUAAAGCUCUGUUGUUAGGGAAGAACAAGUAACGCAGUAACUGGCGUUACCGUGACGGUACCUAACGAGAAAGCCACGGCUAACUACGUG